rnacentral:pre_miRNA from 1 species
AGACAUCCUUAUGGAGCAGGACUUGAUUCGGUGGGGUUUCAGUGCUCACUGAGUCUGUCCCUUGAGUGUGUCGCU